AUGCCCUGAACAGCUCAUCUUCAGAAGACCGCAACAUGCACCUCAACCAACAUUGAGAAUGUGAUGAUCUUUCUCAUAGAAAUGAAAAACAGUAUAGAACAGAAUCUGAAAUUUUCUAAAAAUAUUGCCCACCGAAGUAUUCUUUCCAUCAAAAAUUCUCUUGUUUCUUUCUUCCCAGAUGAGAUAAACUGUGAGACCCAAAGAGACUCUUCUCAUUCGAGCUUCUAAGUUAUUUCCCCCGGAGUUAAGUCCCCUGAUGGCACUGGUCAAGGUCAUCAUCCUCCUAUUAAUACGCAGCCACAGCUUGAUUUGCAACCAGAGGCAAGCUGACCAGGAGCAAGUGAAGAAUAAGUGGCUAUGAGAUUCCUCUGUCUGCCCACACAGUACACACAAGGUAUCUAUUUGAAAAAACCUCAGCCGGUCUUUUGUUCUUAAUUUUCCCAACACUGCUAACCACAAAAUAAAAUUGUGUCUUGGCAUAGACCAUUUCUCCCAUACCACACGUGCCCAGUUAACUUGAGGACCAGAGAGUCUAAAAUAAUUAUAUGCUUGCACCGAGAAGUUGUCAUCCCCUCUGUUCCAUUGCCGAAGUAAUGCUACUGCUUCCUCUUGGCUCCCGCAAUCUUCAAGUAACUGAUCUUUUAGCAGAAUGAUAGAUUUCCAGAGGGGGGAGGAAGAGUGAUGAGCAGUCACAGCCCAUAAGGUAUUCUGUUGCAGGUAAAAGUGAUGAACCCAUUGGAUCCAUAUGGAGUCAGUUUUGAGAUGGAUGUUCCAGAGUUGUUUUGCUAGGAAGCUCUUGUUUCGAGCUUUUAAAUCAAAUAAGCCUAGGCCCCCUUCCUUUUUGGGGAGACAGAGCUGCUUCCAGGCCACCAAAGCAGAGUUGCUGUUUGUAUGGUUGCCUGACCACAAGAAGUUUCUGCAGAUGCAAAUAAUUUGAUUAAUUACACUGCUUGGCAUAGAAAAGAUGCUAAGCCAAAACUGGACCAUUCCAUAGAGUACUGUCCGCACUAGCUCCAAUCUCCCAGCAUAAGAAAGAUGUUUUCCCAUCCAACUUUGCACUGCCAAUUCCAGUUUCUGCAACAGAGGAGAGAAUUGGCUUGCUAGAAGUCUGUGGGGACUGAGAGGAACACCGAGAUAUUUGAAGGGAAAACCACCUUCUCUGAAGCCAGUAUCAUGGAGGAUUAACCGCUUCAUAUUAUCACUAACACCCCCAAAGUAGAUUGAUGAUUUCUCUGCAUUUAUAGUCAACCCUGAGGUCUGCCCAAAGAGUAUUAGCUGUUUAAAGAUAGUGGAAACAGAGUGUCUAUCCCCACGAGACAGCAAAAGCACAUCAUCAGCAAAAGCAAGGUGGCAUAUAUCAUGGACAUUACAUUUCGGGUGGAAAUGAAAAUCACCAUUCCUUGAUGCUAGCUUAAGCAUUCGGGAAAAAUAUUCCAUGCAUAAGAUGAACAAAUAUGGUGAUAAUGGAUCACCUUGCCGAACUCCACUCUUCCCAGGAAAAAAGCCAUAAAGAGUGCCAUUAACUGCAACAGAGAAAGAUGUAGUUUCAACACAUUUCAUAAUUAAGUGCACAAAUCGGUCUGGGAAGCCAAACAUAUGCAGCAGCUGACGCAGAAAAUGCCACUGAACUGAAUCAAAGGCUUUCUUAAAAUCAACCUUCAUGAGACAUCUAGGAGAAGCUCUUUUCCUGCCAUAAUGACGAAGAAGCUCCUGGACUAAAUUAAUAUUGUCUGACAUCAUUCUCCCACCUAUAAAGGCAUUUUGCAUUGGGCUAAUAAUGGCAUUUAGAGCAGAAGCUAAUCUCCCCGAAAGGAUUUUAGAUAUCACUUUGUAGACCACAUUGCAGCAAGAAAUGGGCCGAAAGUCAGCUGCUGUAUUUACAUUUGCUGCCUUGGGGAUUAGAGCAAUAAUCGAGUGGUUAACUUGCCUCAAAAGUUCCCCAGAAGUGAAGAAAUUCUGAACUGCCGCACAAAACUCCCCUCCAAUGACACCCCAAGAUUUUUUGAAGAAAAAUGAGGAGUAACCAUCCGGCCCUGGAGCUUUAUCAUUUUCAAUAUCAAACAGAGCAUUUUUAAUGUCAUCAUUGGAUACAGGAGCUAAGAGAGACUCAUGAGAGCUUGCAUGAAGGCAAGGCCCACUUUGAAUAACAUCAAUGUCUAAGGGAAGAGUUGCCUUGCAGGAGCCCAGGAGCUGCUGGUAGAACCGAACGAAUUCUUCACCCAUUUCAGCCUCUGAUGUAGUCAGGGUGCCAUCACUACAGUGAAUAGCAGGAAUAUAAUUCCUUCUGUUUUUCUGAUUCAUAAGUGCAUGAAAAAAACUUGAGCCUCUAUCACUGUCUUUGAAAAAAUGGCAUUUAAGUUUCUGCGAGAAGAACAUUUUCUCCACUGAUUUAAGAUUCAUCAAUGUCAACCGUAACUGCUUAUCAUGCUCCAAUAGCUGUAAAUUGUCCCUGUCAUCAUGAAGAACAGUUUGGUGAUUCUCUAGAGCUGCCUCAGCUCUAGCAACUCUUUCAGAGAUAUGGCUGAAAUGCAAUUGAUUUAACUCUUUUAAAGGCCUCUUCAGAAACUUGAGCUUCUUACAAAGAGAGAACAUAGGAGAGCCUGGGAUGUGGCGAGUCCAGUUAUCAGAUACAAUCUGCAAGAAAUUUUCAUGAGAAGCCCACAUAUUGAAGAAUUUAAAGUUGCGCUUCCCCUGACUGUUCUGAUAAUCAAACCGAAUAAUUGCUGGAGAAUGAUCAGAAAAGGCCCCAGGAUUGCCAAAGUGGACGUGAGCUGGAGCUUGAAGUGAAGACCAAUAUGAGUUGACUAGUACUCUAUCAAUUUUGCUCCAUACUCUUCCAUUGUUCCAGGUAAAAUGGCAGCCCGUGAAGUUGAGAUCAACAAGCCCGAGGUCUGUACAACAGUCUCUAAAAUCCGAUGUUUCAUAGGUGGAGACAGGCUCUCCGUUGUGCUUGUCAGUCUGAGACAAGACAGAAUUAAAAUCACCCAUAACCAACCAUGGGCAAUUAGGCUGCCAUGCUCUUAAAUCUGCCCAUAGAGAUCUUCGUGCAACAAUUGUAUUAUAUCCAUACACAAAAGUGACAGUGAAGCUAAGCUGGAGAACUAAGCUGUUGAUAAUUACAUGCAGCCCUUGAGCUGAACAAUUAAGUAAGUCAACUUUUACCGUUGAAGGAUUCCAAAAAACCACAAUUCUGGCAUUGCUGGCAGCUGUAGCAUUAGUAAGGAAAUUCCAGUGUUUCAUCCGAAACUUAUGCAUGGAGGAAACCUUAGAAGAGUGCAAUUUGGUCUCAAGAAGACCACAAACAUCCAAUUUAUGCUUCUUCAUGAGGGUAACCACCUCAUGUUGCUUCAGAGGACUGUUUAGUCCUCUGACAUUCCAGCAAUAGAUAAUCAUUUACCAGCAGGAGAGGUAGGAGGCCUCCUACCACUACCACCUGAUUUCCUAGUGCUACUCCUUGUAACCACAACUGGAGGAGCUGGAGGAGCUGCUUUCUGUGUGGCCUCAUUACAAACCUUCUCCCCAGUCCUGACACUGCAGCCAGCAGAAGUGCCUUCACAAGAUUGCUCUUCAGUUCUGAUCAAAACCACAGUUGAACCUGCCCUGCCUUCAUUACUGGUAUUCAGAUGAGUAAGAGAUUCAUCUCCCCGCUCUCUAACAUCCGCUGGGCAUGCCACUUCCUUGCCCUUAUUGCUGCAUGCCACUUCCUUGUCCUUAGUUACCCUCUGGGAAGCAGCAGUCAUAGAUGUUUCCUUGUGUCUGGAGUUUGACUUCUUCCCCUUUACCACUUCCCAGCCACCAGUGACAGCUUCAACCUCUGCUUGCAGUGGAUCUAUAGUCUGCUGGGCAGACUGACCACUCCCUUUGUGUCCCAUAGCAUUGUUUGGUUUGGAAGGUUUACUCCGAGUCCUGUGCUCCGCAUCUGAACUAUGGUUGCUAGUCAUUGAGGGACAAGCAGCAGUAGUGUGGUUAAGGACUUUACAAUGCUUACAGAAUUUUGGCAGUGUUUCAUACUCAACUGAUUGCGUCAGAAUAUCUCCAUUAGGCAGCUUGAAUUGAAAAGAUGGAGGCAGGUCAUCCAUCAGAUUCACUUCCACAAGCACUCUAGCGUAAGAGAGUCUAGACAAGGAAGAAGUUAAUCUAUCACUUUGCAGAGGUUUCCCCAGCACACUAGCUAUCUUUGAAAGACUCCUAGGAGACCAGCAACUCAAGGGAAGAUUAGGGAGUUUGAUCCAAACUGGAACUCUAGUCAUCUCCGCAGAGGAGAAAUCAAAAAAUUCAGGCAUUGGCCUCAGCAGUAAAGGCCUCCCAUACACCAGAUAUGGACCUCCACCGAGAACAGCCAUUUUGUCAUCAACAUUAUUGAAUUUGUAAAUUAACCAACCGGAGGCAUGAAUCGUCAAUGUUGCAUUACAGUGCCAGGUGCUACUAAUAAUAUUAUUCAAAGCUUUAAAUCCUGGAUAUUUUCCAGCAACAUACCCAAUAAGACAAGUUUUCCAAACAGCAUAGUGAUCAUCCAAAUCCUCUUCCAAUAGAGAACAAGAUUUUGAAUUACUUAUGCCAGAAAAAUGAAUUAGCUUGGAACAAUUUUCAGAACUACGGUUAUUAGAGAACAAGUCCCUCCAUUUGCCUGCAACAUUUUCAGUUGGCUGAGGAAUACCUGAAAUUUGGGGAUCCGCUUGCCUAGGAAGCCCUGAGUCUUUGUCGCACGCCGUACUGGAGUCGGGCAGAGCAGCUGGUAAUGGCCCUUCGCUAAUCACUUCUUCUAAAAGGGGGGUUGUAUUCGGUUGACCAUCGGCAGAUCUGUCUUCUACAACGUCAGAUCCAUCUUCUGCAACACAAUCUUCCACCAAGACACGCUCAGGUGAAGAAGAUAGACUAGCGUCUCCUGCUGAAAGGGAGCCACCAGAGGCUUCUUCAGCAUAUAUGAUAUAUUUUUCCGGGCUACAUCCACCGGUGAUGGGUUUGAGGACCGGUGUCUUGGGUAAAGGAGCGGAGCAGAG
rnacentral:lncRNA from 1 species